rnacentral:rRNA from 1 species
GAUGAACGCUGGCGGCGUGCCUAAUACAUGCAAGUCGAGCGAACAGACGAGGAGCUUGCUCCUCUGACGUUAGCGGCGGACGGGUGAGUAACACGUGGAUAACCUACCUAUAGGACUGGGAUAACUUCGGGAAACCGGAGCUAAUACCGGAUAAUAUAUUGAACCGCAUGGUUCAAUAGUGAAAGACGGUUUUGCUGUCACUUAUAGAUGGAUCCGCGCCGCAUUAGCUAGUUGGUAAGGUAACGGCUUACCAAGGCAACGAUGCGUAGCCGACCUGAGAGGGUGAUCGGCCACACUGGAACUGAGACACGGUCCAGACUCCUACGGGAGGCAGCAGUAGGGAAUCGUCCGCAAUGGGCGAAAGCCUGACGGAGCAACGCCGCGUGAGUGAUGAAGGUCUUCGGAUCGUAAAACUCUGUUAUUAGGGAAGAACAAAUGUGUAAGUAACUAUGCACGUCUUGACGGUACCUAAUCAGAAAGCCACGGCUAACUACGUG